rnacentral:rRNA from 1 species
CUACGGGAGGCUGCAGUGAGGAAUAUUGCACAAUGGAGGAAACUCUGAUGCAGCAACGCCGCGUGGAGGAUGACGCAUUUCGGUGUGUAAACUCCUUUUAUAUGUCAAGAAAAUGACGGUAGCAUAUGAAUAAGCACCGGCUAACUCCGUGCCAGCAGCCGCGGUAAUACGGAGGGUGCAAGCGUUACUCGGAAUCACUGGGCGUAAAGGACGCGUAGGCGGGAUAUCAAGUCAGGUGUGAAAUCCUACAGCUUAACUGUAGAACUGCACUUGAAACUGGUAACCUAGAGUAUGGGAGGGGGAGAUGGAAUUAGUGGUGUAGGGGUAAAAUCCGUAGAUAUCACUAGGAAUACCUAAGGCGAAGGCGAUCUCCUGGAACAUAACUGACGCUAAGGCGUGAAAGCGUGGGGAGCAAACAGGAUUAGAUACCCCGGUAGUC